rnacentral:rRNA from 1 species
UACGUAGGGUGCAAGCGUUAAUCGGAAUUACUGGGCGUAAAGCGUGCGCAGGCGGUUUCGUAAGUCUGUCGUGAAAUCCCCGGGCUUAACCUGGGAAUGGCGAUGGAGACUGCGAGGCUAGAGUUUGGCAGAGGGGGUAGAAUUCCACGUGUAGCAGUGGAAAUGCGUAGAGAUGUGGAGGAACACCGAUGGCGAGGCAGCCCCCUGGUCAAAACUGACGCUCAUGCACGAAAGCGUGGGGAGCAAACAGG